UACGGGGGGGGCAAGCGUUGUUCGGAAUUACUGGGCGUAAAGGGCUCGUAGGCGGCCAACUAAGUCAGAUGUGAAAUCCCUCGGCUUAACCGGGGAACUGCGUCUGAUACUGGAUGGCUCGAGUUUGGGAGAGGGAUGCGGAAUUCCAGGUGUAGCGGUGAAAUGCGUAGAUAUCUGGAGGAACACCGGUGGCGAAGGCGGCAUCCUGGACCAAUACUGACGCUGAAUAGCGAAAGCCAGGGGAGCAAACGGG
rnacentral:rRNA from 1 species